rnacentral:rRNA from 1 species
GUCUAUGGCCAUGCUACCCUGAACAAGCCCGAUCCCGUCUAAUCUCGGAAACUAAGCCUGGUUAGUACUUGGAUGGGAGACCACCUAAGAAGACCAGGUGCUGCAGGCA